GACGAACGCUGGCGGCGUGCUUAACACAUGCAAGUCGAACGGAAAGGCCCCUUUGGGGGUCCUCGAGUGGCGAACGGGUGAGUAACACGUGAGUAACCUGCCCUUGACUUCGUGAUAACUUCAGUAAACUGGGGCUAAUACCGGAUAGGAAUCCUUGCUGCAUGGUGGGGGUUGGAAAGCUUCGGCGGUUUUGGCUGGACUCGCGGCUUAUCGGCUUGUUGGUGGGGUAGUGGCUUACCAAGGCUUUGACGGGUAGCCGGCCUGAGAGGGCGACCGGCCACAUUGGGACUGAGAUACGGCCCAGACUCCUACGGGAGGCAGCAGUGGGGAAUAUUGCACAAUGGGCGGAAGCCUGAUGCAGAAACGCCGCGUGCGGGAUGACGGCCUUCGGGUUGUAAACCGCUUUCAGCAGGGGCGAAGCUUUUGUGACGGUACCUGCAGAAGAAGCACCGGCUAACUACGUG
rnacentral:rRNA from 1 species